rnacentral:rRNA from 1 species
GAACGCUAGCUACAGGCUUAACACAUGCAAGUCGAGGGGCAUCAGGAAGAAAGCUUGCUUUCUUUGCUGGCGACCGGCGCACGGGUGAGUAACACGUAUCCAACCUGCCCUUUACUCGGGGAUAGCCUUUCGAAAGAAAGAUUAAUACCCGAUAGUAUAAUGAUUCCGCAUGGUUUCAUUAUUAAAGGAUUCCGGUAAAGGAUGGGGAUGCGUUCCAUUAGGUUGUUGGUGAGGUAACGGCCCACCAAGCCUUCGAUGGAUAGGGGUUCUGAGAGGAAGGUCCCCCACAUUGGAACUGAGACACGGUCCAAACUCCUACGGGAGGCAGCAGUGAGGAAUAUUGGUCAAUGGGCGCUAGCCUGAACCAGCCAAGUAGCGUGAAGGAUGAAGGCUCUAUGGGUCGUAAACUUCUUUUAUAUAAGAAUAAAGUGCAGUAUGUAUACUGUUUUGUAUGUAUUAUAUGAAUAAGGAUCGGCUAACUCCGUGCCAGCAGCCGCGGUAAUACGGAGGAUCCGAGCGUUAUCCGGAUUUAUUGGGUUUAAAGGGAGCGUAGGUGGACUGGUAAGUCAGUUGUGAAAGUUUGCGGCUCAACCGUAAAAUUGCAGUUGAUACUGUCAGUCUUGAGUACAGUAGAGGUGGGCGGAAUUCGUGGUGUAGCGGUGAAAUGCUUAGAUAUCACGAAGAACUCCGAUUGCGAAGGCAGCUCACUGGACUGCAACUGACACUGAUGCUCGAAAGUGUGGGUAUCAAACAGGAUUAGAUACCCUGGUAGUCCACACAGUAAACGAUGAAUACUCGCUGUUUGCGAUAUACAGUAAGCGGCCAAGCGAAAGCAUUAAGUAUUCCACCUGGGGAGUACGCCGGCAACGGUGAGACUCAAAGGAAUUGACGGGGGCCCGCACAAGCGGAGGAACAUGUGGUUUAAUUCGAUGAUACGCGAGGAACCUUACCCGGGCUUAAAUUGCAGUGGAAUGAUGUGGAAACAUGUCAGUGAGCAAUCACCGCUGUGAAGGUGCUGCAUGGUUGUCGUCAGCUCGUGCCGUGAGGUGUCGGCUUAAGUGCCAUAACGAGCGCAACCCUUAUCUUUAGUUACUAACAGGUUAUGCUGAGGACUCUAGAGAGACUGCCGUCGUAAGAUGUGAGGAAGGUGGGGAUGACGUCAAAUCAGCACGGCCCUUACGUCCGGGGCUACACACGUGUUACAAUGGGGGGUACAGAAGGCAGCUAGCGGGUGACCGUAUGCUAAUCCCAAAAGCCUCUCUCAGUUCGGAUCGAAGUCUGCAACCCGACUUCGUGAAGCUGGAUUCGCUAGUAAUCGCGCAUCAGCCACGGCGCGGUGAAUACGUUCCCGGGCCUUGUACACACCGCCCGUCAAGCCAUGGGAGCCGGGGGUACCUGAAGUACGUAACCGCAAGGAUCGUCCUAGGGUAAAACUGGUGACUGGGGC